AUGCACGCUGGCGGCGUGCCUAAUACCUGCAAGUAGCACGCUGAAGGAGGAGCUUGCUCUUCUGGAUGAGUUGCGAACGGGUGAGUAACGCGUAGGUAACCUGCCUGGUAGCGGGGGAUAACUAUUGGAAACGAUAGCUAAUACCGCAUGACAACAGUUAUUGCAUGAUAACUGUUUAAAAGGGGCAACUGCUCCACUACCAGAUGGACCUGCGUUGUAUUAGCUAGUUGGUGAGGUAACGGCUCACCAAGGCGACGAUACAUAGCCGACCUGAGAGGGUGAUCGGCCACACUGGGACUGAGACACGGCCCAGACUCCUACGGGAGGCAGCAGUAGGGAAUCUUCGGCAAUGGACGGAAGUCUGACCGAGCAACGCCGCGUGAGUGAAGAAGGUUUUCGGAUCGUAAAGCUCUGUUGUAAGAGAAGAACGAGUGUGAGAGUGGAAAGUUCACACUGUGACGGUAUCUGACCAGAAAGGGACGGCUAACUACGUG
rnacentral:rRNA from 1 species